GAUGAACGCUAGCUACAGGCUUAACACAUGCAAGUCGAGGGGAAACGGCAUUAAGUGCUUGCACUUUUUGGACGUCGACCGGCGCACGGGUGAGUAACGCGUAUCCAACCUUCCCAUGACUAAGGGAUAACCUGCCGAAAGGCAGACUAAUACCUUAUGGUCUUCACUGACGGCAUCAGAUGUGAAGUAAAGAUUUAUCGGUUAUGGAUGGGGAUGCGUCUGAUUAGUUAGUUGGCGGGGUAACGGCCCACCAAGGCAACGAUCAGUAGGGGUUCUGAGAGGAAGGUCCCCCACAUUGGAACUGAGACACGGUCCAAACUCCUACGGGAGGCAGCAGUGAGGAAUAUUGGUCAAUGGGCGAGAGCCUGAACCAGCCAAGUAGCGUGCAGGACGACGGCCCUAUGGGUUGUAAACUGCUUUUGUAUGGGGAUAAAGUCAAUCACGUGUGAUUGUUUGCAGGUACCAUACGAAUAAGGACCGGCUAAUUCCGUGCCAGCAGCCGCGGUAAUACGGAAGGUCCGGGCGUUAUCCGGAUUUAUUGGGUUUAAAGGGAGCGUAGGCUGGAGAUUAAGUGUGUUGUGAAAUGUAGACGCUCAACGUCUGACUUGCAGCGCAUACUGGUUUCCUUGAGUACGCACAACGUUGGCGGAAUUCGUCGUGUAGCGGUGAAAUGCUUAGAUAUGACGAAGAACUCCGAUUGCGAAGGCAGCUGACGGGAGCGCAACUGACGCUGAACUCGAAGGUGCGGGUAUCGAACAGGAUUAUAUACCCUGGUAGUCCAAGGACGAAUUCACAGGGAUAUCAAGCUUAUCGAUACCUUCAACGCGGUGGUGUUGACACAGUAACAAUUUGGGUCCUUUAUGAGGGUUAAGUAGGGGG
rnacentral:rRNA from 1 species